GAAAUUCCUUCUUUGUGUGAGGCACACUUCUGCUAGGUGCUAGUGAUGCAAAUGCAAUUGAUGAAACAAUCCUUAUUGGAAAUCACCUUCCAUUUUCAAGGCCUUGGAGAGCUGGAGAUGAUUCUUCUAAUGAUAGUCUAACCUUCUAACCCUCAUUCAAUCAUGGGAUUUGACCUUAGACUCUGAAACCCAAUCCAUGAGGUGCCUAUGGGAUGAUUGAUAAAAACAAAAGCACACCUAUACAAGCAAUAAUACAUUUUAACAUAGUAGGAAGCAGAAGCAAAUGUAAAAGGAAGUAAAAGGCCUAAA